rnacentral:rRNA from 1 species
CCUACGGGUGGCAGCAGUGAGGAAUAUUGGUCAAUGGCCGAGAGGCUGAACCAGCCAAGUAGCGUGAGGGAAGACUGUCCUAUGGAUUGUAAACUUCUUUUGUCAGGGAGUAAAGUCACCCACGUGUGGGGGUUGGUGAGUACCUGAAGAAAAAGCAUCGGCUAACUCCGUGCCAGCAGCCGCGGUAAUACGGAGGAUGCGAGCGUUAUCCGGAUUUAUUGGGUUUAAAGGGUGCGUAGGGGGGUUGUAAAGUCAGUGGGAAAAUCGGGGAGCUCAACCCCAACCAGCCGUUGAAACUGGUAGUCUUGAGUAGGCGAGAGGUGUGCGGAAUGCGUGGUGUAGCGGUGAAAUGCAUAGAUAUCACGAAGAACUCCGAUUGCGAAGGCAGCAUACCGGCGCCCGACUGACGCUGAAGCACGAAAGCGUGGGUAUCGAACAGGAUUAGAUACCCGAGUAGUC